CCCGCCGCUCCCCCGGGGCCGGGGCUCGCUGCCGGGGCUCGCUGCGGCGGCGUUUGUGCUCCGACGCUUUUCCUGUUUUUUUUCACAGUGCUGGCAAGGAUGGAUGGAUGAAAGAAGGAAUUAUUUCAAGGGCCAAUGGUUUAACAUAUUUCACCUCCAGUUCUAACAACCCAAAGACAAGGAGCAGAGAGACCUUGCUGGGAGCAAGAGAUCUCUGCCUAAGCCCCUUCUGACACAGAGUUUAUGCAAUUUGGCACUAAAAUGCUCAAAGCUGGAAUUUAUCCUGCAGAUGUAACCACAGCCACGGGCCUCUGGAUGGACACAAACCCCCCACCAGGCUGCAAGUCCAAGCACCUCUGUCAGCAUGUGAUGGAGAGGGCAGAGAAGAUGCAGCCAGGACACCACACUGAGAUCUCGUUUGACAGGGCUGAUGUAAAUCAAAGUGCACAGAAAGUUUUGGAAUAAAUGACAGGGAAAGCUGGAUGCUGUCCAGGGGGGUGGGAUUGAGGCACUCUGUGGGGCUGGGGGUGAGUGGGAAAGGGAGCAGUGCUGGUGUGCAAGCCUCCCCUCAGCCUCCUGCUGCCGAGACAACUGGAUUAAAUUAGAGCAGAAUGAGGACUGGGGAUUACAGAGAAACAGAGGCAUCAACAGUUUUCAUUUCUCCCCCACAAUUAUUUAUAAUGAUAUGGGAAAAUGAAGAGCAGAAUGGAUUCAGCAAACGAGGAAUAAGAGACAAACCACAGGAUCCAGCACCAGCCAUACUUUCCAUGGCAUUUCAGCCUGUUGUGCCACAUCACAAAGAAGUAUCUGCAAUUCUUGGAUGUCUAGCAUCUCUCAUUUGAUCCUAUUCAGGUAACUCUUGAGUACAUGACAAGACAGUUAUCAAGGCUCUCAUGUUUAGAUUAUAGCAGCCUUUUUUAACUUCCCACACAAAUAAGUACACUCUCUUUUGCCAAAGCCAAAUGAACAAAUGAGACGCUGUCGUGACAUCCCAGGAAUAAAAUGUUACAGUAAAUCACCCUGGCAUGGAAAGCAGUUCUACAGUCAAGCAAAGCAAACUGCAAAUGUCAGCUUGUUCACUGGUAAUCCUGCUGAAAAGUAACCCAAAGAGCAGUAUUAGUGUUUGCUAACUUGCUCUGACAGUGGCUUUGCUAAAGAAUCAAUGGACAAAAUAGACAGAUGAGAAGUGUUCCACAUUAAAGACAGCAAAGAUAAAAAGACUAGUUUAAACCUCCAAAGUAAGGCAGCCAGUGCUGUCCUCCAUCCUCUUGAGACUACCAGGCAGUCUACAGAAGCCCUCCAAGAAAUGUAGCAUUUUUCACUCUUCACAAGCUUCUGAUUCCAGACAUCCCUACUGCUGAAGUGGUACUGCCAACAAGAGCACCUUUUAAAACAGCAAUCUCCUACCCCUGGCUUUUCUGAUUCACUAUGAAAUUAAAGAAUUCAGCUUUUAAUAUGAUGUGGAGCAAGGAGUCUUCCCCAACUGUCAAACCUAAUAUGUGCUACAAAAGGUUUUAGCUAACAAUACAGAUUUAAAAAAAAAAAAAGCAAGUUUGCACUCCCAGUGCCAGCAGAUGGAUGAGUGACCCUCUUGAGACAGGGACUAAAUUACAGAUGGUCAUGGGGAGGUCAGGGACACAACAGUGCCUCGGCACUCAGCUGCCACUGCCGGGCCACACCUCUGACUCUGCCGCUCCAUAAACUCUGCCCUUGCACCCAGCCGUGCCUCCUUCCCGCUGAGCUAAACUGUGCCUCCGUUAAAAUUACCCUUCCUCUCCUCCCAGGGCUUCCUCUGUAAUUUUCUGCUCAAAGUCAAAGGAAAUAACAAAGCCAGGGCUGCUCUCCAGCCUCCCCCAUUCAGCGCUGUCCCCUCCAUGACAGCUCUGUCUCCAGCCUUGCUCUCCCAGCAAAGCCAGGGAUCUUCCCAGCUGACUUCUCCUCUCAGCUUGAAGGACUUCCCCAGAGUGGAGGCAUCUGCAGGCAGGAACUUACAUGGGUUUUCAUGACUUUCCUCUGACGUCUGCCAGGGACUUUCAGGUUUACACAAAAAAUAGCCACUACCAGGGCCAGCAAAAAAAAAGCUUUCAGCCAACUGAAAGAAUUAAUAAUAGGUUAAUUCUUUCAUUUCCAGUCCUGAGGCAAUAUUCUCUCUCUUUCUCAUGUUUUACUGGUCUUUUUAAACUGAGUUCUAGGGAAAUGGGUGGAAGAUGUGGAAAUCCUAUUGCAAAAGCACCUGCCCGCUCUUUUCCCCAGAGAGCCACACAGAGAACAUUCUAUUAUUUAGUUAAUUGCAAAGAAACAAUUACAAAGGAACUUGGCAAACUCUCUCUAAUCACAGCAAGACCCACUGCAGUCCAGUAAGUUCAGCAAAUUAGCAAAUAAGUGAAUACAAAAAGGAAAGAAUAACACA